CCCUUAGAUGUUCUGGGCCGCACGCGUGCUACACUGAUGCAUUCAACGAGUCUAAAACCUGGUCUGAUAGGGCUGGGUAAUCUUUUGAAAGUGCAUCGUGAUUGGGAUGGAUGAUUGCAAUUCUUCAUCUUCAACGAGGAAUGCCUAGUAAACGCAAGUCAUCAGCUUGCAUUGAUUACGUCCCUGCCCUUUGUACACACCGCCCGUCGCUCCUACCGAUUGAAUGAUCCGAUGAAUACCAUGGAUUGAGAGUACGAAUAGGUUCGCUUAUUUCUGCUGCUCGAGAAGUGGAGUAAAUCUUAUCAUUUAGAGGAAGGAGAAGUCGUAACA
rnacentral:rRNA from 1 species